CCCUGGCCACAAAAGGUAGGAGUAAGAAAAAAAACUACAUUAACUUGAUAUAAGGAAAUGAACCUACCAAUUGAAAGUUAUGGGCUAUGUCCUAGUUAAACUUUCUGUUGCUAGAACAAGUUAUGCUCACACCCUAGACCAAAACAUCCUGUAGGCAAAUUACUCCCUGGGUGGAAUCCAAAGUUAUCUCCCAAAGGGAACUGGAGCUUAGUUGGAACUUUUGCUUGUGAAGUAGAUAGGAAUGUAUCUACUCUUUAUUCCUGGAGUACAAGGUCUGGCUAUUAGUCACUCACACCUGUUGACUAUAACCUUGAGAGAGCAGAACUCUCUGACCUAAUUCUAGGUGGGACCAGUGUUAGAGGUUGAAACCUUGAAGGAACUAGAGGUAAGUUCCAACUCUCUGACCUUUGGUCAAUGUGGAAAUAGGCUCAUCUUUGGGCCUCCACACUACCUCCCUUCUUCUGUCUUUCAGGCUCUUGGAUGUGCCACAAAACAAGAGAAAAAUAGGCUCAGUGCUUUCACACCGUAAAUAUCAGAGACCAGCUAUGCACAUCACCUGACCAGGAGCUACCUGCUGGUUAGGUGAAUGGAAGGAGGUGCCGGUAUUCUAGAGAGAAACAGCUUCCAGCAAAUGGAUUGGAAACAAGCUCUUCACUACAUGUCUCUGAGACAUGGCCCCUCACUGAAUCUGGAGCUCAAGACCUUUGAGGUACCCAGGCAUUCAGCAAGUCCCAGGGUCACACAAGGCUACCAGCUGCAUCUGAGCAUGCUCAGAAGCGUCUCCCACGUGGAACACACCAAGGCCAACAUGUCUGUCUCCCUCUCUGAAUGUGCAAGGGCAAGCGGUCUGAUCCAACACUGCAACAAGGAUCAAGUUUGAAAUGUGGUCUGCCGCUUAGCUCUGAAAGUGUCAAUCAAUGUACCAUGAAAUUGGAGGAGAACAGCAAGUGGCAACCAAUCUCGUCUACGUUAGGAAGAGCGAUGGAAACAUCGUCCGCUGACCCAAUUUCUCUCCCUCCACCAUGGUGAAGGAUUUUACAAAGGACUGUAACUACACAAU